UACGAAGGGGGCUAGCGUUGCUCGGAAUUACUGGGCGUAAAGCGCACGUAGGCGGUCUUUUAAGUCGGGGGUGAAAUCCUGGAGCUCAACUCCAGAACUGCCUUCGAUACUGGAAGACUCGAGUCCGGGAGAGGUGAGUGGGAACUGCGAGUGUAGAGGUGAAAUUCGUAGAUAUUCGCAAGAACACCAGUGGCGAAGGCGGCUCACUGGCCCGGUACUGACGCUGAGGUGCGAAAGCGUGGGGAGCAAACAGGG
rnacentral:rRNA from 1 species